rnacentral:rRNA from 1 species
AUUGAGUGGUCCGGUGAAGUCUCGAGAUUGUGGCAAUCUCCUUUAUUGGAGUUUGACUGCGAGAACUUGCCUAAACCUUAUCACUUAGAGGAAGGUGAAGUCGUAACAAGGUUUCCGUAGGUGAACCUGCGGAAGGAUCAUUA